CAAUGCUUUGAGUUCAGUUCAGGGCAGCUGUCCUGUUCUGUUAAUUAAACUCUGGGACAUUGAACCUGCUGGGGUAGACGACAGCAUACAUUUACCUCCCAGCCUACAAAA
rnacentral:snoRNA from 1 species